AUUUAUCUUAAUGGAAAAAUUCUGCACGUAUUUUUUUCAAACAAAAGAUAUGUUUAUCCUUCACCUCUAUACUUUCUUAGGCCAUCUUUGUCAAAACACAUCUCUGGCCUGUGAGUUGGCAACAUGAUUGAAUUAGUUUGCAACUCAAGAUGGCAGGAGAUUAAACAGAAUACUUUGAAAAAUAGAAGUAUCUCCUAGAAAGAACCUCAGUGAAGGGAUUGUCUAAGAAACAGAGGGAGAGUUGGAGGCAGAAUGUAUGUUGCACUCAGAUUAUGUUGUGAAACUAGUUACUGCAUUGAAGACUUGAUGACCUAAAAGGGCAUUGUGUGUGAUGUUGACCAAUUAUUCAGUCAUGUCACAUUCCCACUUCCUGAGUGAAUCACCAGCUGCAAAAAUUAAGAUGAAAAACUUUCCACAAAAGAAAUCAUUAUGAAGUAUUUAAGCAUCUUUGGAUAAAAGACAGUUUAAAAAACAAAUCACUGUGAUUUAUG
rnacentral:lncRNA from 1 species